UAAAGAAAGAAAAACAGUGGUCUUCAUAUUAUCAGACAAAAUAAACUUUCCCGUAUAUCAUAAAAAAUAAAAAAAAUAAAAAAGUCUGUGACUGAGUAUUUUCGGGGCAGGGCGUCUGUAGCUAUCAUGUACAGAUGGACAUUUGUAGACAAGAAAUUUUAAGUUUUGAGUGUGACGAGAUGACAUUUGUAGCCAAGCAGAGAUAGG
rnacentral:lncRNA from 1 species